GAUCAAGCGCAUAAUGGUUGCCCUAUGGUUUCGGCCCAUAGUAUGGAGACUCCCGAGCUCCCUUGCUCC
rnacentral:tRNA from 1 species